ACCCGCUGAAUUUAAGCAUAUAAGUAAGCGGAGGAUAAGAAACUAAACAGGAUUCCCUUAGUAAUGGCGAAUGAACAGGGAUGAGCUCAACAUUGAAAUUGCGGCCUCAGGCUGUGAAUUGUAAUCUCAAGAUGUACUGCUAGCGGGGGCGCGGGUGAAAGCCUCUUGGAAAAGAGAAUCAUUGAGGGUGAGAAUCCUGUUUGUCACUCGCAGACCUCCGUGCACGGCGUACGUUCUUAGAGUCACGUUCCUCGGGAUUGGAGCGCAAAUUGGGUGGUAAAUUUCAUCCCAAGCUAAAUAUGGGUUCGAAACCGAUAGCAAACAAGUACCAUGAGGGAAAGAUGAAAAGGACUUUGAAAAGAGAGUUAAAAGUGCCUGAACUUGCUGAAAGGAAAGCGGAUGGAACCAGUGUUGCUUGGUAAGAUUGUCGCGUGCUAAGGUGAUUCUCGCUGCGUCACGCACAGGCUUGCUGUGGGUUGGAUCCUUCCGCGCGCGAUGCUUCUUGCCUUGUGCGUCAUCGUCGGUUUGGAGGUGAGGACAACUCUUGGGACAUGGUAGCUUGCCCCUGGGCGAGCGAACGUGCCUUGUGGAACUCACCGCCAGACUGUGAAUAGAAUGUGUGGGAGCGUUGCUCGUCGCGCUGUCGCCCGUGGGUGAUACAGAGACUGCGCGCGAGGUGUGCGUGGGCACCUUUCACACACAACCAUGGUGACUAAAUGGUUCCAUUCGACCCGUCUUGAAACACGGACCAAGG
rnacentral:rRNA from 1 species